rnacentral:rRNA from 1 species
GAUGAACGCUGGCGGCGUGCUUAACACAUGCAAGUCGAACGAUGAAGCACAGCUUGCUGGGUGCAUUAGUGGCGAACGGGCGUGUAACGCUUGAGUAACCUGCCCUUAACUCUGUGUUCCGUCUGUGAAACUGGGUCUAGUACCGGUUCGCUGCGUCCACCGCCUAGUUGGUCUUGGAGAGCUUUCUGGGUUUUGGAUGGACUCGCCGCCUAUCCGCUUGUUGGUGAGGGAAUGGCUCAUCAAGGCGACGACGGGUAGCCGGCCUGAGAGGGUGACCGGCCACACUGGGACUGAGACACGGCCCAGACUCCUACGGGAGGCAGCAGUGGGGAAUAUUGCACAAUGGGCGCAAGCCUGAUGCAGCGACGCCGCGUGAGGGAUGACGGCCUUCGGGUUGUAAACCUCUUUCAGUAGGGAAGAAGCGAAAGUGACGGUACCUGCAGAAGAAGCACCGGCUAACUACGUG